GCAGUAAUGAAUUAUAAAGGGUUUAGAUUCUAAAAUUUAAUCAGGCGCAUACCAGUUAGGAAAAGAGAACACAAGAUGUAAGACAGGUGUUGUGCAAUUUCUAGCAUUGGCUUACAGCCGGCAAGAUUAAUGAAGAUCACAUGCAGUAUGAAGAACAAAGAGCUUUUUAGAGUGUAAGAGUAGUGGUGAACUAAUGUUCGUGUCUUAAAUUGAGAGUAGAGGAGAGUGUAUAUAGCAGUUUAGGAGCGGAGCUGAAUAAGGUAAAAGAAAUCAAAACUCAGCAAUUAGGAAAAUUACAAGAUCAAUCACACACGAAAUCAGCAUAGUCUUCAUUUAAUUAAGGACGACUACUCAACGGUUAAAGGACAUGAGUCACUUAAGGCAAGAAAAUCAAAUCAGACUUAAGUAAAGAGGUAAACAAACAUGAAUUUAAUUAAGGAAAUAAUCGUGAGGAAUCAGUAAUAAGAAUAAUUAAAGUCGUAAAUAAGAGAAUAAAUCAAGAACCAACAUAUAAUUUUUAACCAAGAGAAUCAAUAAAUCAAAAUCCAAGUACUGAUUUUAAGGGAGGAAAAAUAUCAGUUUUCCACAAAUAGACGAGUAACCUAAAUCAAAACUUCAUAAACACACAUAAAUUAGCCAAGGAUCGGCUCAGAAAUCGUAGUAGAGAUGAACUAGGGUAAAAGCAACAAGAUAAUGAUUUAGACUAAGGGGGAAAUCAUGAAAGUCAAAGCACAACACAAAUAAUGUA
rnacentral:lncRNA from 1 species